GAUGAACGCUAGCGGCAGGCCUAAUACAUGCAAGUCGAACGGUAAGGCCCUUUCGGGGGUACACGAGUGGCGGACGGGUGCGUAACGCGUAUGCAACAUGCCUUCCAGCGGGGGAUAUACCAGGGAAACUUGGCGCAAUACCCCAUAGAAUUACGGGACCGCAUGGUCUUGUGAUUAAAACUCCGGUGCUGGGAGAUUGGCAUGCGUGACAUUAGCUAGUUGGCGGGGGUAACGGCCCACCAAGGCGACGAUGUCUAGCUGGUCUGAGAGGAUGAUCAGCCACACUGGGACUGAGACACGGCCCAGACUCCUACGGGAGGCAGCAGUGGGGAAUAUUGCGCAAUGGGGGGAAACCCUGACGCAGCCACGCCGCGUGGGUGAUGAAGGCCU
rnacentral:rRNA from 1 species